UAAGGAAUAUUGGUCAAUGGACGCAAGUCUGAACCAGCCAUGCCGCGUGAAGGAUGAAGGUCCUCUGGAUUGUAAACUUCUUUUAUCUGGGACGAAAACGGGAUUUUUAUCUCAAUUGACGGUACCAGAGGAAUAAGCACCGGCUAACUCCGUGCCAGCAGCCGCGGUAAUACGGAGGGUGCAAGCGUUGUUCGGAAUUACUGGGCGUAAAGCGCGUGCAGGCGGUCUCUUAAGUCUGGUGUGAAAGCCCGGGGCUCACCCCCGGAAGGGCACUGGAGACUGGGAGGCUAGAGUACCGGAGAGGAAGGUGGAAUUCCUGGUGUAGCGGUGAAAUGCGUAGAUAUCAGGAGGAACACCGGUGGCGAAGGCGGCCUUCUGGACGGCUACUGACGCUGAGACGCGAAAGCGUGGGGAGCAAACA
rnacentral:rRNA from 1 species